AGGUAGAGCGUGGACAGCGACGAGAUGGUAUUGCUUCUCAUGCUGCUGGCGCUUGCGCUGCCCGGCGUCUGCGGAGACUCCGCGACCGGGAAGAACCCAGAGGAGGGGACCUGAGACCUCAGGGAGUUGCUGGAAAGCCAGAGGCGUUUCCUGAAACCCAGACCCAGAGAAACUGAGCACCUCCUGUGUCAGCAUCAUGGAAUGGUGACCAUGAAUGUAAAAGAGAAGUCCCAGGACUGAAGCCCAGUGAAAGAAAACUUGGAAAGGAUGGAAUCUGGAUGUUUGGGCGUUCCCUUGCCAGGCUAUUGGGUCUGUCUGUGCCCACACGAAGGGAGGUGACUUUGUACAAACCAGAUCAAGGCAUCCCUUCCUCAAGAUGUGCUAUUUCCACCUGACAGAAAAUUGCAAAGAUGCAGGUCUGUGCUGAAAACAGUGCCCUCCCGCAUCACACAAAGUGCAUAUCGAUGUGGGGAUGUGGCUUCUACAGGAAUCCAGGCAAGCUCUGAACUUGGUGGUUUUAUUUUUUGUCCAUAUUGAUGAUUUCAUAAAGUAACAGAGGAGAGAUGUUGCUAUGGACUGAACAUGUCUCCCCCCACCAGAUUCUUAUGUAGAAGCGCUAGUCCCCAGUGGGAUGUUAUUUGGAGGUGAGGUCCUUGGGAGGUGAUUAGAUUUGGAUGGAGCCAUGAGGGUGGAACCAAUGAUGGGAUUAGUGUCUCUCUCUCCCUAUCAUGUGAGUACUCAGCGAGAAGGUGGCCUUCUGCAAACUGGGAAGUGGGCCUUCACCAGAUACUGGAUCUGCCAGCACCUUGACUUUGGACUUCCAGCCUCCAGAACUAUGAAUGAUAAAUGCCUGCUGUUUACAUGGCCUCAAACAUCCCUGCAGACACAUCUUUUCUUCCCCUUCUUCUCUGCCCACAGCUCUUCUCUGCAUCCUCAGCUUCCUCACAAAGUGACCAGGUCCUCUUCAGCAGAGAUAAAGCCUGAACUUAAAAGGCCCGCCUGACAGGGCAGUGGAGCCACCAUGCUGAGACUCAAGUGUGCUCCGAGGGUCUCAUUUCUCCUGCCUGUGCCCCAGUGGUUUAGCAAAGUAUU